CAGCAGCCGCGGGAAUACGAAGGGGGCGAGCGUUGCUCGGAAUGACUGGGCGUAAAGGGCGCGUAGGUGGUACGGACAGUCAGGUGUGAAAUUCCCGGGCUCAACCUGGGGGCUGCAUUUGAUACGUCCGAACUAGAGUGUGGAAGAGGGUCGUGGAAUUCCCAGUGUAGAGGUGAAAUUCGUAGAUAUUGGGAAGAACACCGGUGGCGAAGGCGGCGACCUGGUCCAUUACUGACGCUGAGGCGCGAAAGCGUGGGGAGCAAACAGGAUUAGAUACCCCUGUAGUCCCUGUCUCUUAUAC
rnacentral:rRNA from 1 species